GCCCUGUGGUAUGGAUCAGUAUGUGUGCUCUUCCUUUUAACAACUUUAUUCCUAAGAGAAUGCUUAGACAUUGUGUAUGUGAGACCAGAUUAAGUAGUUUGAGAUCAAAUGGUUUUUCAUCUGUAGAUUAUGGAUAUUAUGAACUGAAUGAAAAUUGAAUUGCACCCUGCUUAUGUUCUAAUACUAAGUUGCCAAAUCAACUUUCCUGGCAUGCUCACAACAUCUAGACUGCUUUUGCAUGUGAAUGGUACAUGUGGACUCUGUUUUAUUUUUUUAUUUUUAAAUAUGAUAUAGCAUUACUGGCUUGGAUUGUAAUCAGCCUGUAAUUGUCUUUUGUAUUAGAUGGUAAGGGAAAGAAUCACAAAAAUAUUGUGAUGAUGAUAAUCAGUUGCAUUGGUUGAGUGAUAUCCAUUUUAU
rnacentral:misc_RNA from 1 species